UCGCUUGGACUUGCUAGCUUAAGUACCUUUCCUUUUUGUUUUUAGUUCUUCUAUGAGGCAUCUUAGCUUCUGACUAUGAAAGGCCCUUAAGGUUUGGCUACGGGCUCAUUCGGUUUGGAGGAAAUCAAAACAUAGGAAUUAGGAGUAGUAUAGGAAUUUGAUAGGAUUACACUUACCAUUCUAAGGAAUUGACUUGCCUCGUUCCUACGCGCAAAAUGAGCUUUGAGUGGAUGUGUAGUUUCCUUCAAAAACACAGGAAAUGAGUAGUAUUCCUACGAAAUUCCUGUACGCAUUUCCUACAAACCGAAUGCAUAUAUAGGAAAUUUUCCUCCAGAAUUCUUGUUCCUAUAUUUUUCCUACGAAAAUCCUUCAAACCGAAUGAGGCCUAUUUGGUAUUUGUGGACCUGUCAGCUGAGUAGGAAACAUGCAAUGCCAUUAAAUUAUUCUGCUUCCCCAGUUUUAUGAUGGUUUGAAGCUUGUGUGAGACUAUUCUCAGCUUGAAUGAAUUGG
rnacentral:lncRNA from 1 species